rnacentral:rRNA from 1 species
GUUGAACGCUGGCGGCGUGCCUAACACAUGCAAGUCGAACGAGCUGCGGCCUGGUGUGUCAUGUCUGGGAAACUGCCCGGAGGAGGGGGCUUUCUACUGGAGACGGUCGCUAAUACCGCAUAUACUACGCUGUUUACAGAUGGGAUUAGCUAGUGGGUGGGGUAAGGGUGCACCUAGGGGACGAUCCCUAGCUGGUCUGAGAGGAUGACCGGCCAGACUGGAACUGAGACACGGUCCAAACGCCUACGGGAGGCAGCAGUGGGGAAUAUUGCACAAUGGACGCAAGCCUGAUGCAGCCAUGCCGCGUGUAUGAAGAAGGCCUUCGGGUUGUAAAGUACUUUCGUCGGGGAGGCGGUACUCGCAGAAGAAGCCCCGGCUAACUACGUGCCAGCAGCCGCGGUAAUUC